AACGCACAUUGCGCCCGCUAGUAUUCUGGCGGGCAUGCCUGUUCGAGCGUCAUUUCAACCAUCAAGCCCUGCUUGUGUUGGGGUCCUGCGGCUGCCCGCAGGCCCUGAAAACCAGUGGCGGGCUCGCUAGUCACACCGAGCGCAGUAGCACAUCUCGCUCAGGGCGUGCGGCGGGUUCUUGCCGUUAAACCCCCCCUUUCCAAAGGUUGACCUCGGAUCAGGUAGGAAUACCCGCUGAACUUAA
rnacentral:misc_RNA from 1 species